rnacentral:lncRNA from 1 species
ACAGACUAGAUAUGACUUUAAUAGUCAAUGAGCCCAAAGGCCCAUUUUCUUCAAUCGACAAAUCAUUUGUUCUCAUACAUGAUCUAGCCAAAAGAACAAUCUGUAUACUUCAGGUUAUUUGGUUCUGGAUCUCUCAGACCUAAUGGUAUUCACUAUUUCUCAAAUAAGUUUACAAAUGUAUCAUCAUGCAAAUGAUAAAGAACUAAAUCCAAAAUAAUAAUCACC